GUGGUUGCAAAAUCAACCGCCGAGCCUCGAAACUCGAAUCAUUUAUCAGUGGCGCAGAACACGCCUUAUGCGUGUUUUUU
rnacentral:sRNA from 2 species